rnacentral:rRNA from 1 species
UACGGAGGGAGCUAGCGUUGUUCGGAAUUACUGGGCGUAAAGCGCGCGUAGGCGGCUUUGUAAGUUAGAGGUGAAAGCCCGGAGCUCAACCUCCGGAACUGCCUUUAAAACUGCAUCGCUUGAAUCCAGGAGAGGUGAGUGGAAUUCCGAGUGUAGAGGUGAAAUUUCGUAGAUAUUCGGAAGAACACCAGUGGCGAAGGGCGGCU